GGGUGUCUGGUGCAGUUGGUUGCACAUACAUUUUGCGUUUGAUGGGCACGAGGUUGCGGGUUCAAUUCCCACUAUGUCCU